rnacentral:rRNA from 1 species
CAAAAACAUCGCCUCUUGCCUAAAUAUAAGAGGUCCAGCCUGCCCAGUGACAUAGUUUAACGGCCGCGGUACCCUAACCGUGCAAAGGUAGCAUAAUCACUUGUUCCCUAAAUAGGGACUCGUAUCAACGGCAUCACGAGGGCUGUACUGUCUCCUUUCUCCAAUCAGUGAAACUGAUCUCCCCGUGAAGAAGCGGGGAUAAACCUAUAAGACGAGAAGACCCCAUGGAGCUUUAAACCCAUCACACACCUCUACGCACUCAAAUCAAUAUAGCCUAAGAGGCUUGUGUGCUGGUUUUAGGUUGGGGGGACCGCGGAGUAAAAUUAAACCUCCACGACAGACGGGCUAAUACCCUUAUCCAUGAACCACAAUUCUAAGAGCCAAUAAAUUGUUGUCUAUGACCCAAUUACUUGAUCAACGAACCAAGUUACCCUGGGGAUAACAGCGCAAUCUACUUCAAGAGCCCCUAUCGACAAGUAGGUUUACGACCUCGAUGUUGGAUCAGGGUAUCCUAGUGGUGCAGCCGCUACUAAAGGUUCGUUUGUUCAACGAUUAAAACCCUACAUGAUCUGA